UGUUUUUCUCGCCAAAUAAUU
rnacentral:piRNA from 1 species